rnacentral:rRNA from 1 species
UACGGGGGGAGCAAGCGUUGUUCGGAUUUACUGGGCGUAAAGGGCGCGUAGGCGGUCAGCACAAGUCAGUUGUGAAAUCUCCGGGCUUAACUCGGAAAGGUCAACUGAUACUGUGCGACUAGAGUGCAGAAGGGGCAACUGGAAUUCUCGGUGUAGCGGUGAAAUGCGUAGAUAUCGAGAGGAACACCUGCGGCGAAGGCGGGUUGCUGGGCUGACACUGACGCUGAGGCGCGAAAGCUAGGGGAGCAAACAGG